rnacentral:rRNA from 1 species
CCUACGGGCGGCAGCAGUGAGGAAUAUUGGUCAAUGGCCGAGAGGCUGAACCAGCCAAGUCGCGUGAGGGAAGACGGCUCUACGGGUUGUAAACUUCUUUUGUCGGGGAGCAAAGCGAGUCACGUGUGACUCAUUGAGAGUACCCGAAGAAAAAGCAUCGGCUAACUCCGUGCCAGCAGCCGCGGUAAUACGGAGGAUCCGAGCGUUAUCCGGAUUUAUUGGGUUUAAAGGGUGCGUAGGGGGAGGUGAAAGUCAGCGGUAAAAUUGCGGGGCUCAACCCCGUACUGCCGUUGAAACUGGAUCCCUUGAGUGCGGGAGAGGUAUGCGGAAUGCGUGGUGUAGCGGUGAAAUGCAUAGAUAUCACGCAGAACUCCGAUUGCGAAGGCAGCAUACCGGCGCGCAACUGACGCUGAUGCACGAAAGCGUGGGUAUCGAACAGGAUUAGAUACCCUAGUAGUC